UACGUAUGGUGCAAGCGUUAUCCGGAAUGACUGGGUGUAAAGGGAGCGUAGACGGUUGUUCAAGUCUGAUGUGAAAGCCCUCGGCUUAACUGGGGGAGUGCAUUGGAAACUGAAGGACUAGAGUAUCGGAGAGGCAAGUGGAAUUCCUAGUGUAGCGGUGAAAUGCGUAGAUAUUAGGAGGAACACCAGUAGCGAAGGCGGCUUGCUGGACGAAAACUGACGUUGAGGCUCGAAAGCGUGGGGAGCAAACAGG
rnacentral:rRNA from 1 species